GCCACAGAGGUGUCCCUUUGCUCUGUUCUGAAAGCUUGGGGGUUGGGGGGAUCUAGCAGACCUCAGUCACCUGCUGCAGGAAGCGGAUGCUCAAACUGUCACCACUGGUCCAGGAGCUGGACACUGGGUUUCUUCAAAGGUCCCAGAGUGGUGCACACCUGUAAUCGCAGCAGUCAGGAGAUGCAGGUUGGAGGACCAGGAGUUCAAGGAUAGCCUCGGCCACGUAGGAAGUUUGAGGCCAGCAUGAUCAACAAGAGACUCUAUUUCAGAAAACCAAAACCACACGAUGACAAGAUGUUUCAAGGCCACAGCACGGAGAGGCACGACUGCUCACUUAUCCAUCACUUAUCCAUCAUGUUAAAGAUUAUCUCGCAGGUUACUCUGUGGAAGGUGACACGGGCCCCCAGUGAACAUCAGUGUCCCCAUGUGCAGUCUGCACAAGGCAACUCAGCAGGGAGAGAGAGGUCCUUGUCUGCUGGCCCCGAGUGGGUGCCUGAGGAGCCACGUGAUGGGAGGAGGGGUCACUCCGAUUCGUUCAUAAGUGGCCUACCCAUGUCUGCUGUGAAGCCGUAGCAGACACUGCCUGAGAGGCCGUGAGUUCUCACUCCGCUGACGGAGAAAAUGUGCGGGUCCCGGUUUUGCAUAGUAGCUUGUUUUCAGUCGUAUACAUGGUGUGUUCAGGACUCCUCUGAGCACCCGAGACAAGCCAUAGGCUGCUUCCCCAAGCAAUGUAGGAAGCAGCGACUGACCUGCCUGCCAUGAAUAAAGAUUAGGGCUGGGAACCUCUGAUGUAUAUGCUGAGUUAAUACACACAAAUACAGGCCUGCCAGCCUCCGAAAGGAUCACACCAAGGCUGCUAAGUGCGGCAUAUUUAGACUCUUCAGGA
rnacentral:lncRNA from 1 species